GGAUGUGAGGGCAAUCUGGCUGUGACAUCUGUCACCCCAUUUAUAGCCAGGGUUGAUCCAGCAGGUCUGGCUAGCUUGGCAGGUGUCCCCUUCCUUCCUCUUUGCUCCCAGUGGAUUGUCCCUCCAGAAGCUGCGUGCUCUGUCAUAGAGGAUGAUGAGCAUCCCCAAUAGAGGAGGACCAUUCUUGGGUCAAGGUUAUACAAGUAGCUGGGCUCCCCUGCUAGAACCUCCAAACCAGCUCUCAAAACCAAGAGGACACUAAGUUAUCCCAUGAUGCCUCUUGUACUCUGCAUGGUGACUAUAAGU
rnacentral:snRNA from 1 species